rnacentral:tRNA from 1 species
AGUCUUGUAGUCAAAAAUGAUAUAAAAUUGCAAAUUUUAAGGAAUAAUAAAAUACUUUAUUAAGGCUU